GAUAUGAUUAUUGGAUUAUUAUUAUAAUGUUGAACAUUGAGUAUUAGUAAUAAACAUUGCAUUCUCAUUUUAUAGACAAUCUACGUUUUGCUUUCUGUUGCUUUCUUAAUUUCUUUAGCCACCAACUGUAAAAGUUACUUAGUUUUUUUUUUUACGGCAAACGGCUAUUCUAUUACUCAAACUUGAGGUGGUCUGGAGAGCCAUACCGGAAUAGAACAACCAAUAAAACAUAAGGAUCUAUGAAAAGAACGUGCAUUCUUAGCUAGCGAAUCCGUAAUCUCAUUUUGCAUCUUUGGGAAGUAGCUGAUCUUGAAGUCUGAAAAACACAACCGAAGAGUUUGAAUGAUCUCCAGCUCUGUUGAGAAGUUAGGCCAAUCUUG
rnacentral:lncRNA from 1 species